UACGUAGGGGCGAGCGUUGUCCGGAUUUAUUGGGCGUAAAGAGCUCGUAGGCGGCUUAGCAAGUCGGGUGUGAAUCUCCAGGCUCAACCUGGAGGGCCACCGAUACUGCUGUGGCUUGAGUCCAGUAGGGAGCAGUGGAAUUCCGGUGUAGACGGUGGAAAUGACGCAGAUAUCGGGAGGAACACCAGUGGCGAAGGCGGUGCUCUGGGCUGGAACUGACGCUGAUGACGAAAGCGUGGGUAGCAAACAGG
rnacentral:rRNA from 1 species